UACGUAGGGUGCAGGCGUUAAUCGGAAUUACUGGGCGUAAAGCGUGCGCAGGCGGUUUCUUAAGUCAGAUGUGAAAGCCCCGGGCUUAACCUGGGAACUGCGUUUGAAACUGGGAGACUUGAGUGUGGCAGAGGGGGGUGGAAUUCCACGUGUAGCAGUGAAAUGCGUAGAUAUCGAUCGGAACACCCAUGGCGAAGGCAGCUCGCUGGCCUGCAACUGACGCUGAGGCGCGACAGCGUGGGGAGCAAACAGG
rnacentral:rRNA from 1 species